GGUGGGAUGUCGGAGCGGUUUAACGAGCUGGUCUUGAAAACCAGAGUUCCCGUCAGGGAACCGCAGGUUCGAAUCCUGCUCCCACCGCCA
rnacentral:tRNA from 1 species